rnacentral:rRNA from 1 species
AGCAGCCGCGGUAAUUCCAGCUCCAAUAGCGUAUAUUAAAGUUGCUGCAGUUAAAAAGCUCGUAGUUGAAUUUCGGGACCAAUAUGUCGGUCGUGCCUCGGUACGUACUGGCAUCGUUGGUUUCUCCCUUCUGACGAACCAUGAUGUCAUUUAUUUGGUGUCGUGGGGAAUCAGGACUGUUACUUUGAAAAAAUUAGAGUGUUUAAAGCAGGCUAACGCUUGAAUACAUUAGCAUGGAAUAAUGAAAUAGGACGUUCGAUCUUAUUUUGUUGGUUUCUAAGAUUGACGUAAUGAUUAAUAGGGAUAGUUGGGGGCAUUAGUAUUCAAUUGUCAGAGGUGAAAUUCUUGGAUUUAUUGAAGACUAACUACUGCGAAAGCAUUUGCCAAGGAUGUUUUCAUUAAUCAAGAACGAAAGUUAGGGGAGUCGAAGACGAUCAGAUACCGUCGUAGUCUUAACCAUAAACUAUGCCGACUAGGGAUCGAUGAUUAGUUAAUUUUUAAUGUACUCAUUCGGCGUACC